GAUGAAGAACGCAGCGAAAUGCGAUACGUAAUGUGAAUUGCAGAAUUCAGUGAAUCAUCGAAUCUUUGAACGCAUAUUGCGCUCUCUGGUAUUCCGGAGAGCAUGCUUGUUUGAGUAUCAGUAAACACCUCAACUUCCAUAUCUUUUUUGAAAUGGGAGUUGGACUUGAGUAAUCCCAACGCUUUUCCUCACCGAAAAGUGGCGGGUUACUUGAAAUGCAGGUGCAGCUGGACUUUUCUCUGAGCUAUAAGCAUAUCUAUUUAGUCUGCCUAAAAAACAGAUUAUUACCUUUGCUGCAGCUAACAUAAAGGAGAUUAGUUCUUGUGCUGACUGAUGCAGGAUUCACAAAGACAGGCUUCGGCCGACUUUGUAAACUCGAUCUCAAAUCAAGUAAGACUACCCGCUGAACUUAAGCAUAUCAAUAAGCGGAGGA
rnacentral:misc_RNA from 1 species